rnacentral:rRNA from 1 species
AGUGAACGCUGGCGGUAGGCCUAACACAUGCAAGUCGAACGGCAGCACAGUAAGAGCUUGCUCUUACGGGUGGCGAGUGGCGGACGGGUGAGGAAUACAUCGGAAUCUACUUUUUCGUGGGGGAUAACGUAGGGAAACUUACGCUAAUACCGCAUACGACUUACGGGUGAAAGCAGGGGAUCUUCGGACCUUGCGCGAUUGAAUGAGCCGAUGUCGGAUUAGCUAGUUGGCGGGGUAAAGGCCCACCAAGGCGACGAUCCGUAGCUGGUCUGAGAGGAUGAUCAGCCACACUGGAACUGAGACACGGUCCAGACUCCUACGGGAGGCAGCAGUGGGGAAUAUUGGACAAUGGGCGCAAGCCUGAUCCAGCCAUACCGCGUGGGUGAAGAAGGCCUUCGGGUUGUAAAGCCCUUUUGUUGGGAAAGAAAAGCAGCAGGUUAAUACCGCGCUGUUCUGACGGUACCCAAAGAAUAAGCACCGGCUAACUUCGUG